GGCGCUAUAGCCAAGUGGUUAAGGCGAUUGAUUAGAAUUGAUUUGGCAUUGAGCCAAUCGCUCGAUCAAUUCCCGUUUCGGGGCGCAGGUUCGAGUCCUGCUGGCGUCG